rnacentral:rRNA from 1 species
GACGAACGCUGGCGGCGUGCCUAAUACAUGCAAGUAGGACGCAGUUGCGAACGGGUGAGUAACGCGUAGGUAACUACCUAUUAGAGGGGGAUAACUAUUGGAAACGAUAGCUAAUACCGCAUACUAGUAGAUGGACCUGCUUUGGAUUAGCUAGUAGGUAGGGUAAUGGCCUACCAAGGCAACGAUACAUAGCCGACGUGAGAGGGUGAGCGACCACACUGGGACUGAGACAAGGGCCAGACGCCUACUGGAGGCAGCAGUAGGGAAUCUGCGGCAAUUGGGGGAACCCUGACCGAGCGACGCCGGGUGAGUGAAGUAGGUGUUCGGAUCGUAAAGCUCUGUGGUUAAGGAAGCGGUACUUAACCAGAAAGGGACGGCUAACUACGUGCCAGCAGCCGCGGUAAUAC